GGGUUGUGAGGUUAAGCGACUAAGCGUACACGGUGGAUGCCCUGGCAGUCAGAGGCGAUGAAGGACGUGCUAAUCUGCGAUAAGCGUCGGUGAGGUGAUAUGAACCGUUAUAACCGGCGAUUUCCGAAUGGGGAAACCCAGUGUGUUUCGACACA
rnacentral:rRNA from 1 species